rnacentral:lncRNA from 1 species
UAUAACAAGAAUGUGUCCAAAGUACACGGAUGCCCCACUCACACUAUCAUUUUCCAUGUUCAAUGGAGCAUGAAAUUGGAUAAAAAAUAUAUUAGGCAUUAAAAUUAGAAAGAUAAUAUCAUAGGGAACAUGUGUACUAAGUUUCAAGUUGAUUGGACUUCAACUUCAUCAAAAACUACCUUGACCAAAAAAUUUAACCUGAAACAUGCACUUUCAUUUUCUAUGUUCAGUGGACCGUGAAAUUGGGGUCAAAAGUUUAAUUUGGCUUUAAAAUUAGAAAGAUCAUAUCAUAAGGAA